AUGGGCGCAAGCCUGAUCCAGCCAUGCCGCGUGGGUGAAGAAGGCCUUCGGGUUGUAAAGCCCUUUCGGCUGGGACGAAAAGGUCUGCGCUAACACCGCGGAUCCAUGACGGUACCAGCAGAAGAAGCACCGGCUAACUACGUGCCAGCAGCCGCGGUAAUACGUAGGGUGCAGGCGUUAAUCGGAAUUACUGGGCGUAAAGCGUGCGCAGGCGGUCUCUUAAGACAGGUGUGAAAUCCCCGGGCUUAACCUGGGAACUGCGCUUGUAACUGAGAGGCUAGAGUGUGGCAGAGGGGGGUGGAAUUCCACGUGUAGCAGUGAAAUGCGUAGAGAUGUGGAGGAACACCGAUGGCGAAGGCAGCCCCCUGGGCUAACACUGACGCUCAUGCACGAAAGCGUGGGGAGCAAACAGGAUUAGAUACCCUGGUAGUCCACGCCCUAAACUAUGUCAACUGGUUGUCGGGGAAGCAAUUCCUUGGUAACGAAGCUAACGCGUGAAGUUGACCGCCUGGGGAGUACGGCCGCAAGGUUAAAACUCAAAGGAAUUGACGGGGACCCGCACAAGCGGUGGAUUAUGUGGAUUAAUUCGAUGCAACGCGAAAAACCUUACCUACCCUUGACAUGCCAGGAACCCUCCAGAGAUGGAGGGGUGCCCGAAAGGGAACCUGGACACAGGUGCUGCAUGGCUGUCGUCAGCUCGUGUCGUGAGAUGUUGGGUUAAGUCCCGCAACGAGCGCAACCCUUGCCAUUAGUUGCCACAUUCAGUUGGGCACUCUAAUGGGACUGCCGGUGACAAACCGGAGGAAGGUGGGGAUGACGUCAAGUCCUCAUGGCCCUUAUGGGUAGGGCUUCACACGUAAUACAAUGGCCGGUACAGAGGGCAGCCGACCCGCGAGGGGGAGCUAAUCCCAGAAAGCCGGUCGUAGUCCGGAUUGCAGUCUGCAACUCGACUGCAUGAAGCCGGAAUCGCUAGUAAUCGCGGAUCAGCAUGUCGCGGUGAAUACGUUCCCGGGUCUUGUACACACCGCCCGUCACACCAUGG
rnacentral:rRNA from 1 species